rnacentral:rRNA from 1 species
GGUUAAGCGACUAAGCGUACACGGUGGAUGCCCUGGCAGUCAGAGGCGAUGAAGGGCGUGCUAAUCUGCGAUAAGCGCCGGUAAGGUGAUAUGAACCGUUAUAACCGGCGAUACCCGAAUGGGGAAACCCAGUGUGAUUCGUCACACUAUCAUUAACUGAAUCCAUAGGUUAAUGAGGCGAACCGGGGGAACUGAAACAUCUAAGUACCCCGAGGAAAAGAAAUCAACCGAGAUUCCCCCAGUAGCGGCGAGCGAACGGGGAGGAGCCCAGAGCCUGAAUCAGCAUGUGUGUUAGUGGAAGCGUCUGGAAAGGCGCGCGAUACAGGGUGACAGCCCCGUACACAAAAGCGCAUGUGCUGUGAGCUCGAUGAGUAGGGCGGGACACGUGGUAUCCUGUCUGAAUAUGGGGGGACCAUCCUCCAAGGCUAAAUACUCCUGACUGACCGAUAGUGAACCAGUACCGUGAGGGAAAGGCGAAAAGAACCCCGGCGAGGGGAGUGAAAAAGAACCUGAAACCGUGUACGUACAAGCAGUGGGAGCACCCUUUGGGUGUGACUGCGUACCUUUUGUAUAAUGGGUCAGCGACUUAUAUUCUGUAGCAAGGUUAACCGAAUAGGGGAGCCGGAGGGAAACCGAGUCUUAACCGGGCGUUAAGUUGCAGGGUAUAGACCCGAAACCCGGUGAUCUAGCCAUGGGCAGGUUGAAGGUUGGGUAACACUAACUGGAGGACCGAACCGACUAAUGUUGAAAAAUUAGCGGAUGACCUGUGGCUGGGGGUGAAAGGCCAAUCAAACCGGGAGAUAGCUGGUUCUCCCCGAAAGCUAUUUAGGUAGCGCCUCGUGAAUUCAUCUCCGGGGGUAGAGCACUGUUUCGGCUAGGGGGCCAUCCCGGCUUACCAACCCGAUGCAAACUGCGAAUACCGGAGAAUGUUAUCACGGGAGACACACGGCGGGUGCUAACGUCCGUCGUGAAGAGGGAAACAACCCAGACCGCCAGCUAAGGUCCCAAAGUCAUGGUUAAGUGGGAAACGAUGUGGGAAGGCCCAGACAGCCAGGAUGUUGGCUUAGAAGCAGCCAUCAUUUAAAGAAAGCGUAAUAGCUCACUGGUCGAGUCGGCCUGCGCGGAAGAUGUAACGGGGCUAAACCAUGCACCGAAGCUGCGGCAGCGACACUGUGUGUUGUUGGGUAGGGGAGCGUUCUGUAAGCCUGUGAAGGUGUGUCGUGAGGCAUGCUGGAGGUAUCAGAAGUGCGAAUGCUGACAUAAGUAACGAUAAAGCGGGUGAAAAGCCCGCUCGCCGGAAGACCAAGGGUUCCUGUCCAACGUUAAUCGGGGCAGGGUGAGUCGACCCCUAAGGCGAGGCCGAAAGGCGUAGUCGAUGGGAAACGGGUUAAUAUUCCCGUACUUGGUGUUACUGCGAAGGGGGGACGGAGAAGGCUAUGUUGGCCGGGCGACGGUUGUCCCGGUUUAAGCGUGUAGGUGUGUGUUCCAGGUAAAUCCGGUUCACUUUAACACUGAGGCGUGACGACGAGGCACUACGGUGCUGAAGCAACAAAUGCCCUGCUUCCAGGAAAAGC